UAAGGAAUAUUGGGCAAUGGACGCAAGUCUGACCCAGCCAUGCCGCGUGGAGGAUGAAGGCCCUCUGGGUUGUAAACUUCUUUUAUCUGGGACGAAACCCCUGUUUUCUAACGGGAUUGACGGUACCAGAGGAAUAAGCACCGGCUAACUCCGUGCCAGCAGCCGCGGUAAUACGGAGGGUGCAAGCGUUAUCCGGAUUCACUGGGUUUAAAGGGUGCGUAGGCGGGUCAGUAAGUCAGUGGUGAAAUCUCCAAGCUUAACUUGGAAACUGCCGUUGAUACUAUUGAUCUUGAAUAUCGUGGAGGUAAGCGGAAUAUGUCAUGUAGCGGUGAAAUGCUUAGAUAUGACAUAGAACACCAAUUGCGAAGGCAGCUUACUACGCGGUCAUUGACGCUGAGGCACGAAAGCGUGGGGAGCAAACAGG
rnacentral:rRNA from 1 species